GAAAAUGGUUCUCUGCAAUGCAGAGCGAAGAUGGGAAUGCAGUUAGAUUCUGCAACUAUGCCCGUAGCUGUGAUUCUUUAUAUGACAGUCCACCAUAGUCACUGGAUGUAAUUCGAGUCAUACGUUUUACACAAAAUCCGGGAAGACGGAACUGUCGAAGAUAAGUCAGAAGACCUGCCAUUUUGAG
rnacentral:ncRNA from 1 species